CUUUUGUACUUCUUGCAGAUGUAUUUUCUUUUAUUUCUUUGACUUUGGCGACUGUGUUUCCAAUAGAAUUCCUAACCUCUCUUUUUUUUACUAUUCAUAAAAUAAAAUAAUCAAAUUAUUUUGUAAAGUGUUUUUCACAAUACAUGCCAUUUCAAAGCAGCCUUAUAGAAGAUGUGCAUGUCUCUAUUACAAUUUAGUCUGAUCUAUAAUAUAAAUAUACUUUUCAACUUCAAUGAGGUUGUGUGAUUUGAUUUAUAUUGUGAUGUUUCUUCUCUUCUCAGUUCUUACACACUGGAAGCAAUAUUGACAUUUCCUCACUGCUAUUCACAAUGUACUUUUAUUAAGUAUUUUGGGUGUAAUACAUUAUGAUUACUGGCUGAUGUAGUGGAAAGUAAAAGUUGUGUGAACCUGCCCUCUGACCUUCCCUAUUUUACUUUGUUAACAGACUGUUCUUGUGGAGUUUCCACACACAACUCGAGCGGCCAUCAGGCGCAAGUGCAACAAUGAGACUAUUCUCCAUCUCAUAAUUGUGUUGUUAAAAGCCAGGAAUGACAUGCUAACUGUCCAUGCUAGAAGGCCUUCAUCUUUCAUUAUCCAGCAGAUUCAUCAAGACUCGCAAGAGGAUUUGAGCAGUGAACUAGG